rnacentral:misc_RNA from 1 species
CGUAAAGGUGCAUGAGUGGUGUUUGGUUUGUUACGGGUGGUUGGCUCUUUGCUUGCGCAACAACUUCCACCUGGCAUACCUCUUCAGUCUUGUGUCAAUGAUCGUAUCGCAUUGAGUACACGGUGGGUUUCUUGUGUUGGAUGCCUAAUUGAUGGUAUCAUUUGAACAACUGAUGUCCGUUUUCGUCUUGUGUUGCACAUGCGAUGUGAGAUGAACCUUGAAGCAGCCUUUGUGUUCCACUAUUUCGAUGCACUUGCAUUGUUAUUGUGGCCCACUAAGUAUUGCUUGGUCUCGUGGAUAUGGAACCUGGAGUGGGCAUGGAAUAUUUACUAGUUCCUUGUUUGCCCUACGUUAGCUUUCCUAAUACGAUUGUCU